rnacentral:rRNA from 1 species
AGCGUUGCUCGGAAUGACUGGGCGUAAAGGGCGCGUAGGCGGACGGCACAGUCAGGCGUGAAAUUCCUGGGCUCAACCUGGGNCUGCGUCUGAGACGUGUUGUCUUGAGUAUGGAAGAGGGUUGUGGAAUUUCCAGUGUAGAGGUGAAAUUCGUAGAUAUUGGAAAGAACACCGGUGGCGAAGGCGGCAACCUGGUCCAUUNCUGACGCUGAGGCGCGAAAGCGUGGGGAGCAAACAGGAUUAGAUACCCUGGUAGUCCACGCUGUAAACGAUGUGUGCUGGAUGUUGGGGUGCUUAGCACUUCAGUGUCGUACGUAACGCGGUAAGCACACCGCCNNGGGAGUACGGCC